AAACACCUUUACAAGAACCUAAAUAUGCCUUGGCUCACUGAUUAACCUCCAUGGUGAAAUGUAGUAUAAUUUUGGACAUAUUUUUUCUGGCUCCCAUAACAUCAGAACUCUUCUGGCUGUUGUAUAUAAUUAUAAAAAUGUCCCUCUGACUUCUUGUUGCUGAAAAUAUACAGGCUGUUCUGUUGUUUUGUUUUGCUAAAAAAAAAAAAAAAAAAGUUCUCUCCGUCUUGUUUUUCUAUCUUUGGCAGGUUCUGCCAUGGAAGCUGUGGCAAUUACUACAGCUGAAGUUGGACUAAGACUUAAGGUGACACCCUCUAGAAUGGAGCUCUGUAAAGCAUCAAAAGUGAAGAAUCAUUCAACUUCUGUGAAAGAUAGAGCACUCUUGAUGCUUCUUGGAAAGGAAGAGCACUUCCGAGAAUCACAGAUUAUUUGAGCCUGUUUCCACCAAAACCAUUGGAAUUUUCCAAGUUAUUUCAAUGGAAACUGAAAUAAGCCAAGGAAAAUCCCACCCCAUGGUGAGGCAGAACAUCAUUAAAAGAUGAAUUUUAAAGCCAAUCUUCAAUCCAAAGUUGUACUCAUAUGCCUCAGAUGAGAUUCAUUUUGGACUUUUGGGCAGCAGAAAGUGACACAAUUAAUGAAAGAAACAUCACUCAGAAAUCAAGAUGUUCUUUCUGCCAGACAAUAUCCUAUGCUACCUUGCUGAUCAUCUCAUUCCUGCUACAGAAACUGACAAUGUGGAAACUGACAUAGUUAAAUGCUUUAUUUAUAUAUAAGCAGGAGCCUUGGAUCUCUUCAGUUAGGUACCAGCGUUUGCAGUCUGUUUUCCUAGACACCCUGCCAAAGGAGAAAAGUUUCACCAGAAGACAAUGCCAUGCACCUAAGCUGAACUUUCCUUCUGAACUGCUCUAUGCAGAUUACCUGCACCCAACAAAGCUGCUUCAAAAAAGUUUUUUUUUUGUUUUUUUUUUCAUCAGAAUGGAAGUUAAAAGCCAAAUAUCCUCAAGAAUCACUAGCCAGAUUCAGUAUUCCAGUAGAUGUUAUUGUAUUUUUUUUCCAUCAAAAACAGUUUCAGAUAAUAUUCUGCAGCAACUUUUUAAUUUCAUUGUAAUUGUAAAUUAAAAAGCUAGCUGCAAAUUAGUUUCUACAGUAUUGAAAUAAUUCACAAUUAUCAUUUCAGCUUUUCUGCUUCAUAAAACAUGCAUUUUCAUAUGCUUUGCUAUGAUCUGUUACCUAAAAAUAUGGGAAUUCCUCCAGAGCUGGAGUUCCCUUUUACAGCCUGCCUUAGAGCUGGCUCUUAAAAUGUGAAGUAUAAGAAAAAAUCUUUGCACAGAUCCCUCUCUCCAGAAGGCACUUCUUUGGGAACCUUGUGU